GGACAGAAAGGCCCUAUGAAGCUUUACUGUAGUUUGGAAUUGGGUUCGGGCUCUUCUUGCGCAGCCUAGGUGGGAGGCUAUGAAGAUAAACUUUUGGGUUUAUUGGAGCCAACAGUGAGAGACCACUCUAGAGGAGCUAGAAUUCUAAUGGCGUUCCUUGAAGCAGGACGCUUGACAGUUUCAGAUGGGCAGUUUGACUGGGGCGGUCACCUCCUAAAAGGUAACGGAGGUGUGCAAAGGUUCCCUCAGGCUGGACGGAAAUCAGCCGUAGAGUGUAAAGGCAGAAGGGAGCUUGACUGCAAGACCUACAAGUCGAGCAGGGGCGAAAGCCGGCCUUAGUGAUCCGACGGUUCCGAGUGGAAGGGCCGUCGCUAAACGGAUAAAAGUUACUCUAGGGAUAACAGGCUGA
rnacentral:rRNA from 1 species